UUAAAAAGGUUUUUGUGUCUAAAACUGAAAAUGUGUAAGUCCUGAGGGCAUGCUGUGAAAUAGUUCUGUCCUGGGCGGCUUUCAAAAUCCCAGGCUGUUCGUGCAGGAUGGGUUUUGACAGUGCCUUUUCCAGAUCUGGCAAACCGGGCCCAGGGAGGGUUAACUGAGCCCCAAAUCACACAGCAAAUUAGCUGCAGGAUCCAUACCAGAAACCCAAUCUCCUAACACCCACUUGGGGACCCCACCCGCCAUGAUCACGCUUCCUCUUAUAUUUAAUAUUCUUUUUGCCAACACAGGAUUCAUUCCAUCCUCCCCUCCCCCAAGGUUUUUAUUUUUAUUAAGGAAAUGUCUGUUUUAUUUUUUAAGUGGCUGAUAGCUCUCAUCAAUUAGGAAAUUGAGAUGGUUUUGAGGACACAUUAAGUCAUUUUUAUGUACGCUGGAAAAUGAGUCCGUAAAAGUCUAAUGCAGGGUAUUGAGAUGUCAGGAGUCACGGAAAGGAGAGGAUUGGUGGAUAAUCACAGGGCCUCUGAUGCAUGGCUCUGGAAUUUUCCAGGAUUUUUGGAGCGCUUUCAUUGUUUAUGUUUUAUUGGUUGUAUCAAAAUUGACAUGUAAAACCCAAAUAGCCAUAUUUUUCCAUUUGGGCCCAUGACUCAGAACACUAAGGGUCUUUCUAGAGCCUUCUAACCAUUUACCACACCUUAAACGGGAAAAAAGGUUCAAACUCCUUUUAUUUACUUUUUCACAUGUUUUAUAUUUUCUGGGCUUCUCGGUGGCAGCUGUAAAAAGGGUUUUUCAUCUGCUCAUUUAGUUCAGUAAUUUGUCUAAACUGAGGCUGUUUCCCUUUUUUCUAAUGCCUGCCCAGCUGUCACUGUUGCCUGCUAAAGUGAUUUUUCUCUAUUAUGUUGUCACCUUACACUCCCAGAGGGUCCUGUCCUGCAGGCCUCACAUGCAUGGAACUUGCAUUAAAGUCAUUGGAAGCUUUAAGUUGUAAGAAUGUGGGUUUGGGGCCCGGGGAAAGGGGCCUGACUAUUCUUGAAACACUGGGCUCAGGAGUGAUGACCUGUACUGUGGCUAGGAGGCCGGAUUCUGUCUUAUCUCGGAUCUCCCCAAGGACCUUAUGGCUCUGAUACGAUCCAUGGCUGGAGGACUUUGGAGGCCGACUUUUCAUCCAUCCCAAGGGGGGUUUACUAGAGUAUCAUAUUCCAAAGCAUAUUCCCUCUACCCUGAUGGUGCCAGUCAAAGAUGCUAUCAGAAGCUGGAGAACAGGGGAACACGAGGGAGCAAGGGACACAUUGUAUUAGGUUCAAUGUUUGCUUUGUGUUUGGAUCCAACACGUAUGAAGGAAGACUCCUGGUUUGGUCAGUGUGCAGAGGGCCUGGAUUUUCCAAUUGUGUGAAUGUUUUCUCCUGAUGGCUUAGUUCUGUUUUGCUUACUUAUGGCUUCAGGGUGUGUGUUUAAUUGAUCGCCUGUGAACAGAUCAGGGCAAAGAGGUUCGUGGGCUUCAAUAUUCCAUUCUUUGUCAAUUCAUUGGAAUAUCAUUCUUUAGGAAUCGAAAGUGCUAUAUCAUUCAGGUGCCCUCUCUGGGACCAUUCUCAGACCUCAGAGUGAAGGCAUAACAGGGUGUCCAGCUUCACCCGGCCAAGGCUGCCUGUAACCCAAGAUUGGCUGAAACAGGAGGAAGACUUUUUUUAUGGAGUGGGGUUCUCUGAGCCAUGAGAACAUGGGCUACCUCUCUACACAGGCUGAAAUUGGGGCUGUGUUCCUUGUAAUUUUUAGGAGACUCUAAGUAUACUCGGUGGGUCAUUAGAGGAAUACAGAAUUCAGAAUUUCUCCCAACUCCUCACAGAUCUCAAUGUAGCUGUUUCCAAGGGUCCCCACGUGGUAGAAGGUAGCUCAAGCGAUGUGACCGAAUCAGGCAGAACCUUCAUGUCAGUACUGACUCCACAGCCCAAGGUCUGCACUUCCAGGAGGCUGGAAGAAAUGCACAAAAGACUUGUCGAGAGAUGUGGUGGCUUGAAUAAGCAUGGUUCCCAUAGGUUCAUAGAUGUGAAAGCUUAGUCACCACGGAGUGGCACUAUUUGAAAGGGUAGGAGGCAUGGUUCUGUUGGAGGAAGUGUGUCACUGGAGGUGGGCUUUGAGGUUUUCAAAAGCUCAAGCCUGCCAGGCCCAGUGUCUCUCUCUCUCUUCCUGCUGCCUGUGGAUCCAGUUGCAGAACUCUCAGCUAAUUCUCCAGCACCGUGUCUGACUGCCUGCUGCUGUGCUCCCCACCAUGAAGGUAACGGACUAAACCUCCGAAACUGUAAGCCAGCCCCAGUUAACUGUUUUCCUUUGUAGGAAUUGCUCUGGUUUUUGUGUCUCUUCACAGCCAUAGAACACUGACCAAGACGAGAGGUAUUAGAGGGGACACCACACAGCUUUUAUAAAAUAAAACCUGAGGGAUGCUUUAAAGAAAGACUGCCCUGGUGUGAGAAGCAAUGAGGUCUUCGGCUUUCAAACCUGGACGUUACUGUGGCAUGAUAGCAUUUACACUCAGACCCAUUUUUGAGUAGGCUGCAGAAACGGGACUUCCCUGGCAGGAAGGGUGCUGCUGAAGAGAACCCCCAAGAAGGCCCAGGUUAGUUCUCCUGACACACGUUUCCAGUGAUGUUUACAUUUUAAGCAAGAACCAUUAGGAUGGAAAAGCUCCGUUUGAAUAGAAUGUACCUUCUCAUCCUGAGCAAAAUGAAGGCAACAGCUGAAAAAUCAUAAAGUGUGCACCAUUGUUUCCGACCGCAAGAGAAAAGAAGUAAGUCAUCACCUGGAACAGAGGUGGUGACCUUCACUUUUACUCUCUCUCUCCCUCUCCUUUUGUGACCGAGAAACAACAAUAAUAAAUUUUGUUCCCUUGCCUAUUUCGAGGCAGAGAUUUGAA